CGAUUUGAUGAAAAAGGCGUUCCGUAGAGGGAGUUUCGUUCCAAAUUAAAAAAGUUGAAACUAUCGUUCCCGAUAAUUACCAUUGCUCUCACGAGUCCACACACAGAGAGAAGACAAGAGUAGAGCGCCAUCUCGCCACUGUGAAAUCGCAGAGCAGGUAAACCUCUUCAUCCUCGGUGCCCUGGGAAAUCGCUCAUAGAGGGAAGAGAGAGGUAACGUCCUGAAAUCGCAGAGCAGGUAACGUUUCUUCAUUCGGCUGCCUAGUUACGUUUUCUUCCAUCUAUUCCUCAAGGAUUUCUUCCUCUUGAUUUCUGAUGAGAAAACCCUAAAAGGAAGAGAGAGAGAGAGAGAGAGAGAGAGAGGUUUUGGGAUUAGAAGGAGACUCACCAUGGACUAUGAUGAUAAUCUGAGACUCUAUAGCUUGAAUGAAUCAAAUGGGUUGUAGAAAAUCACCUGGGAGGCUCUCCAACAGAUGAAAUUUUGUUCAUCACUUUGGGUUGGUGGUUUAUUUUUAGGGGAAAUGGAAUGCAAACAUCAGUGGUUCCCGACAAUAUACACCCGCCUCCUUUCACCUCUCCCUUUCACCUUUGCGCACACAGAGCUGGAGAAAGAAGAAGACAGAUCACUGGAGAAGAAGAAGCAACUCGACCUUGAAUCCUCGACACAGCAGAAGGUUCUUGUACCGUUCUUCUCAAGGGAGAACUCCAUUGCUCAUCUCUGCUCGACUCUGCUCGUCGAUCACGUCUUCUCAGAUCUUUGCAAGUUUUCAACCUAGAUCUCUACUCGUUUUCGCUCAAAGAGGAUGGUAAAAAUGGUCUGUACCACCGUCAAGAUGAGGAGAAAUAAUGCAGCGAGGAAUGAGAUGAAUGCCCAUGGAGUGUUACAAUAGUUGUGCAUCAAACUUGCCUUCCAUUUGUGCCUUGGGAUCUUGUAAUGUUCCUCCAGUUCAUGGCAAACACUGGAGAAGUAAUAAUUACCAUCCACUACGCAACUCAACAUCCUUUCGAGAGUUGAUGAGGCCAUCGAUGAAGGCAGCAUAGUCUGUGAUCUCAUGAGGAUAGGCAUCAUGAGACUGCUCAAAGGCGAUGAGGUUUCGAAGCAGAGGCUCCGUCCAGUCCUCAAUUCUCAUG